GGCAGUUGCAACGAUGAGACGGCGAACCCCAUGGGGGGCAAGUGCGG
rnacentral:ribozyme from 1 species